rnacentral:rRNA from 1 species
GGCUUGGCGGCAGCUACACAUGCAGUCGAGCGGGGGAAGGUAGCUUGCUACCGGACCUAGCGGCGGACGGGUGAGUAAUGCUUAGGAAUCUGCCUAUUAGUGGGGGACAACAUCUCGAAAGGGAUGCUAAUACCGCAUACGUCCUACGGGAGAAAGCAGGGGAUCUUCGGACCUUGCGCUAAUAGAUGAGCCUAAGUCGGAUUAGCUAGUUGGUGGGGUAAAGGCCUACCAAGGCGACGAUCUGUAGCGGGUCUGAGAGGAUGAUCCGCCACACUGGGACUGAGACACGGCCCAGACUCCUACGGGAGGCAGCAGUGGGGAAUAUUGGACAAUGGGGGGAACCCUGAUCCAGCCAUGCCGCGUGUGUGAAGAAGGCCUUAUGGUUGUAAAGCACUUUAAGCGAGGAGGAGGCUACUUUAGUUAAUACCUAGAGAUAGUGGACGUUACUCGCAGAAUAAGCACCGGCUAACUCUGUGCCAGCAGCCGCGGUAAUACAGAGGGUGCGAGCGUUAAUCGGAUUUACUGGGCGUAAAGCGUGCGUAGGCGGCUUAUUAAGUCGGAUGUGAAAUCCCCGAGCUUAACUUGGGAAUUGCAUUCGAUACUGGUGAGCUAGAGUAUGGGAGAGGAUGGUAGAAUUCCAGGUGUAGCGGUGAAAUGCGUAGAGAUCUGGAGGAAUACCGAUGGCGAAGGCAGCCAUCUGGCCUAAUACUGACGCUGAGGUACGAAAGCAUGGGGAGCAAACAGGAUUAGAUACCCUGGUAGUCCAUGCCGUAAACGAUGUCUACUAGCCGUUGGGGCCUUUGAGGCUUUAGUGGCGCAGCUAACGCGAUAAGUAGACCGCCUGGGGGAGUACGGUCGCAAGACUAAAACUCAAAUGAAUUGACGGGGGCCCGCACAAGCGGUGGAACCAGGUGGUUUAAUUCGAUGCAACGCGAAGAACCUUACCUGGCCUUGACAUACUAGAAACUUUCCAGAGAUGGAUUGGUGCCUUCGGGAAUCUAGAUACAGGUGCUGCAUGGCUGUCGUCAGCUCGUGUCGUGAGAUGUUUGGGUUAAGUCCCGCAACGAGCGCAACCCUUUUCCUUACUUGCCAGCAAUUUCGGAAGGGGAACUUUUAAGGAUACUGCCCGUGACAAACUGGGAGGAAAGCGGGGGACGAACAUCAAUUCUUCAAGGGGCCCUUAGUGGCAGGGGGUACAACGUGGUUUCAAUGGGUGGGAUACAAAAGGGUGGUUUCCCACCGCAUUUGGUGGCUAUCUUCCAAAAGCGCAGCGGGUUUCCCGCGUGGUUAGGUCGG